rnacentral:rRNA from 1 species
UACGUCGGUUGCGAGCGUUGUCCGGAAUUACUGGGCGUAAAGAGCUCGUAGGUGGUUUGUCGCGUUGUUCGUGAAAUCUCACGGCUUAACUGUGAGCGUGCGGGCGAUACGGGCAGACUAGAGUACUGCAGGGGAGACUGGAAUUCCUGGUGUAGCGGUGGAAUGCGCAGAUAUCAGGAGGAACACAGGUGGCGAAGGCGGGUCUCUGGGCAGUAACUGACGCUGAGGAGCGAAAGCGUGGGGAGCGAACAGG